GACGAACGCUGGCGGCGUGCUUAACACAUGCAAGUCGAACGGAAAGGCCCUGCUUUUGUGGGGUGCUCGAGUGGCGAACGGGUGAGUAACACGUGAGUAACCUGCCCUUGACUUUGGGAUAACUUCAGGAAACUGGGGCUAAUACCGGAUCGGAGCUCCUGCUGCAUGGUGGGGGUUGGAACGUUUCGGCGGUUGGGGAUGGACUCGCGGCUUAUCAGCUUGUUGGUGGGGUAGUGGCUUACCAAGGCUUUGACGGGUAGCCGGCCUGAGAGGGUGACCGGCCACAUUGGGACUGAGGUACGGCCCAGACUGCUACGGGAGGCAGCAGUGGGGAAUAUUGCACAAUGGGCGGAAGCCUGAUGCAGCAACGCCGCGUGCGGGAUGACGGCCUUCGGGUUGUAAACCGCUUUCGCCUGUGACGAAGCGUGAGUGACGGUAAUGGGUAAAGAAGCACCGGCUAACUACGUG
rnacentral:rRNA from 1 species